AUGCCAACCUCCCAAAAGCACCGAGACUUCAGGGCAGAGCCCAUGGGGGAAAAGCUAGUGGGGAGCCUGGCCAGGAUUGGUGAAGUCCUGGGCAAGAAGCUGGAGGAAAGGGGCUUUGACAAGGCCUAUGUUGUCCUUGGCCAGUUUCUGGUGCUGAGGAAAGAUGAAGACCUGUUCCGGGAAUGGCCAAAGGACUCGUGGUGCCAACACCAAGCAGUCCCGGGACUUCGGAUGCCUUCGAGAGCAUGCGAUGCCUUCUUGUGA
rnacentral:lncRNA from 1 species